GAUCAUGGCUCAGGAUGAACGCUAGCUACAGGCUUAACACAUGCAAGUCGAGGGGAAACGACAUCGAAAGCUUGCUUUUGAUGGGCGUCGACCGGCGCACGGGUGAGUAACGCGUAUCCAACCUGCCCAUCACUUGGGAAUAACCUUGCGAAGGUAAGACUAAUGCCCAAUGAUAUCCCACGAAGGCAUCCGAAUGGGAUUAAAGAUUUAUCUGUGAUGGAUGGGGAUGCGU
rnacentral:rRNA from 1 species